CCUACGGGAGGCAGCAGUGGGGAAUUUUGGACAAUGGGCGCNAGCNUGAUCCCAGCCAUGCCGCGUGUAUGAAGAAGGCCUUCGGGUUGUAAAGUACUUUUGUCAGGGAAGAAAAGCCUGAGGAUAACACCCUCAGGUCAUGACGGUACUUGAAGAAUAAGCACCGGCUAACUACGUGCCAGCAGCCGCGGUAAUACGUAGGGUGCGAGCGUUAAUCGGAAUUACUGGGCGUAAAGCGAGCGCAGACGGUUAUUUAAGCAAGAUGUGAAAGCCCCGGGCUCAACCUGGGAACUGCGUUUUGAACUGGGUAACUAGAGUGUGUCAGAGGGGGGUAGAAUUCCACGUGUAGCAGUGAAAUGCGUAGAGAUGUGGAGGAAUACCGAUGGCGAAGGCAGCCCCCUGGGAUAACACUGACGUUCAUGCUCGAAAGCGUGGGUAGCAAACAGGAUUAGAUACCCUGGUAGUCCACGCCCUAAACGAUGUCAAUUAGCUGUUGGGGUACAUGAUGCCUUAGUAGCGUAGCUAACGCGUGAAAUUGACCGCCUGGGGAGUACGGUCGCAAGAUUAAAACUCAAAUGAAUUGACGGGG
rnacentral:rRNA from 1 species